UACGGAGGGUGCAAGCGUUGUUCGGAUUUAUUGGGCGUAAAGCGCGUGUAGGCGGUUUCUUAAGUCUGAUGUGAAAGCCCUGGGCUCAACCCAGGAAGUGCAUUGGAUACUGGGAAACUUGAAUACGGGAGAGGGUAGUGGAAUUCCUAGUGUAGGAGUGAAAUCCGUAGAUAUUAGGAAGAACACCGGUGGCGAAGGCGGCCUGCUGGGCGGCGACUGACGCUGAGGCGCGACAGGCGUGGGGAGCAAACAGG
rnacentral:rRNA from 1 species